rnacentral:rRNA from 1 species
AUGGUGAAAAGGAACUUCAACAUGACAUCCGGUGAUAGACUUGUGAAGCUUCUUAACAAGAGUGAUGAACAUGAUCUUUGCACCAUCUACAAGGAGGGGAACAGGGCUCCAAUCACCCAUGUUGUCAAGUUGCUCAUUACCUACAGCGACGAGGACGUGGUUAUGAUAAAUAGGACUUGGGCACUCAUUGCGUUGGCAUCAGUUUUGUGCCCAGGCACUGGCAAUAUGGUGAAUCUCGAGUAUCUAGCUUCCUUGGAAGACAUGUCUUGGCACGAGCGAUGGAGGAGGUUGCAAUCUUUCAAGAGAAGAAGAGGAUGCAAGCAAAUACAGAAAACGUAG